AACGCACAUUGCGCCCGUUAGUAUUCUAGCGGGCAUGCCUGUUCGAGCGUCAUUUCAACCCUCAAGCUUUGCUUGGUGUUGGGGUACUAUAAUUUUUUAUAGGCCCUGUAACCCACCAAGGUUGACCUCGGAUCAGGUAGGAAUACCCGCUGAACUUAA
rnacentral:misc_RNA from 1 species